AGAACGAACGCUGGCGGCACGCCUAACACAUGCAAGUCGAGCGCCCAGCAAUGGGAGCGGCGGACGGGUGAGGAACACGUGGGAACAUGCCUUUCGGUUCGGCACAACUGCGGGAAACUGCAGCUAAUUCCGGAUACGCCCUUACGGGGAAAGAUUUAUCGCCGAAAGAUUGGCCCGCGUCUGAUUAGCUAGUUGGUGAGGUAAUGGCUCACCAAGGCUUCGAUCAGUAGCUGGUUUGAGAGAACGACCAGCCACACUGGGACUGAGACACGGCCCAGACUCCUACGGGAGGCAGCAGUGGGGAAUCUUGGACAAUGGAGGAAACUCUGAUCCAGCGAUGCCGCGUGAGUGAUGAAGGCCUUCGGGUUGUAAAACUCUUUCGACGGGGACGAUAAUGACGGUACCCGUAGAAGAAGCUCCGGCUAACUUCGCGCCAGCAGCCGC
rnacentral:rRNA from 1 species